UUGAAAAUUUAUCCCAGCGCCCAUCAUUCCCUCGCACCAUUUCAAAUUAAAACACUCUAACCCUAAACCCACCCUUCAUUCCGCCCCACCCCAAUCCAAUCGUCUUCCUCCGCGUGUUUAUCUCAAAUCACGAUCUCUUUGCUCACCCGCUGUCUACGAUCGUUGGCCGGACACAACGCAUCAAUCACCACUGCCAGAUCCACGAACAACUUCUAGACAUCCGUAGAGGUGACCUCUCUUUUUAUAGUUUCUUGUUGAUAACCACACAUUCAAUUGAUAGAACCACGCGUAUAAAAGUCUCUCACUCUUUUUCUAUAUAGAAAUUCCGAUUUAUCACAGAUCGACAAGGGAAUUCGGUUUGACGAAAGGAUUGGAAUGUUAAAAGAAAAGCUUUAUAUAAAUACAAUCUUUGAUUUUGAGUCAUAUCAUAUAAAAAUACAAUCACAGUACAAUUUUGCUGGAAAUCAUUGAUUUUGAGAAAUCGCCUUCAGAUUAACGAGCAGGAUCAAGAACAGAUGAUCGAUCCAAAGAUUGGUUUGGUUGUUGACAUGAUAUUAUUUUGGUUUGCAACUACUAAUUUUUUUGCAUCAGCCAAUCUUUAGGCUGCUACAAUCAGGUUCUUUCUGUUGUUGAUGAACAUUCGGGAUUGCGUCUCCCGGAUGAAACACAAACUGAAGUUUUUAUAACUAUGAGAGACAUGCUUCAUAGUUAUGUUAAGUGGCAUAGACAAUAUGCGAAGCUUUUGGACGGAGAUGCGCCAAGCUUCAUGAAGACGUUAAAAAAACGUAAAAGAAAUACGUGAGCUUUAUUCUAAAAAAGUGUUCUUUCUUGCAUCAUACUUAGCCCGUUUUUAUUUUUGUAGUAAACACUGGUCGCUUAUAAUUGUUUGCCCGGACUUCAAAUUCGGCUAUAUUGUUGAUUCUAUAAAUGAAGGGAAGACUCAUAAAAGUUACAAGCUCGUCAAGAUCAUUGAAGAAGUUUUUGAGAUUAAUUUUAAGUGGUACAUGGCACAGCUUUGGAAUGAAGAAGGGUAUUUUGAAGAAUCUCAAAUUGAGAAUUUAGUGGUAGAUUUAAUGUCAAAAUUAUUAAAAAGAUGUUUUGAUCUUGUAAGCAUUAGUUUGUGUUUCAUACUUUUGUAAUUCCGUAUUGUUGAACGGGUUGUUGGGUUGUUUAAUACUAGUUAACUUUUGUCGUGA